rnacentral:rRNA from 1 species
GUACACGCUGUGACUAGCAUAUCAAUAAGCGGAGGAAAAGAAACUAACAAGGAUUCCCCUAGUAACGGCGAGUGAAGCGGGAAGAGCUCAAAUUUGAAGUCUUAAAGGGUUUCCCUUUACGAAUUGUAGUUUAAAGAAGUGUUUUCUGUUGAGGUUUUGGUAAAAGUUCUUUGGAAUAGGACAUCAUAGAGGGUGAGAAUCCCGUAUUUGACCUUUACUUUCAACUUUGUGAUACACUUUCAAAGAGUCGGAUUGUUUGGGAAUGCAGUCCAAAAUGGGUGGUAAAUUUCAUCUAAAGCUAAAUAUUGGCGAGAGACCGAUAGCGAACAAGUACCGUGAGGGAAAGAUGGAAAGAACUUUGAAAAGAGAGUUAAACAGUACGUGAAAUUGUCAAAAGGGAAGCGUUUGACACCAGUGUUGUUUUUCUGAAAAUCAAUUAAAGAACUGUUUAUGCUAAGCUGUUUAGACUUUAUCAGCUAUCUGUUUAGUUUUGAGCUUUUCUUUAAUGCACUUUUCAGUUAACAAGUCAACAUCAAUUUCUUUUGCUGUAAAAAAGCUUGAGGAAGGUGGCUUUGAGAUUCGUCUUAAGUGUUUAUAGCCUCUUGCCUAUGCAGUCGGAGAGAUUGAGGUCUGCAGCGUAGAUCCUUCGGGGCUAAAUGCAUUUGUGCUAAGUUAUAGCAUUUUCAUAGACAACUUGUUGACUAUGAUUUGUCUUGUAGCUUACUCGCUUAUGUUAUUUUACCUACGCUUAGGAUGUUGACUGAUAUGUAGUCGUA